rnacentral:lncRNA from 1 species
CCAGUCCACCAGAGUCUUACCCAGAACUCCCCGUGGCCUCUAAUGGCUCUGAUUCCGUUUGGGGAUGAGAAGAAACUGGGCCUUUUGAAGCCAGGCACACCUGUGCCUAUGCUGUGACUUGAGGAGCUGAACUGCAGGUAUGAUGGUGAGCGAUCUUCUGAAGAAUAAGAACAGGGACAGUGCGUUAAAGAUAACAGAACAGCAAUACAGAAGCUGGGACACCAGGGACAGCAUCCACCUGAGAGCCACUUUCUACCUCAGAUUCUUCCUGGAGAAGGAAACUACAGCCAGCCUUCCACGCCCACAAAUUCUGCCUCUGUGGAUUCAGCCAACUGAGCACCCAAAGUAUUUGAAAAGAAAAUGUGGGUAACUCUUCCAAGCCAUUA